AGGGUUUGAUCAUGGCUCAGAAUCAACGCUGGCGGCGUGCCUCAGACAUGCAAGUCGAACGCGAAAGUUUCCUUCGGGGAACGAGUAGAGUGGCGCACGGGUGAGUAACACGUAGGUAAUCUACCUUUGGAUGGGGAAUAACAACCGGAAACGGUUGCUAAUACCGCAUAAUGCAGCGGCACCUAAUGGUGACAGUUGUUAAAGCGGGGGAUCGAAAGACCUCGCGUCUGAAGAGGAGCCUGCGGCGGAUUAGCUAGUUGGUAAGGUAACGGCUUACCAAGGCGAUGAUCCGUAGCCGGCCUGAGAGGGCGGUCGGCCACACUGACACUGACAUACGGGUCAGACUCCUACGGGAGGCAGCAGUCGGGAAUUUUGGGCAAUGGGCGAAAGCCUGACCCAGCAACGCCGCGUGAAGGAUGAAAUCCUUCGGGAUGUAAACUUCGCAAGAACGGGAAGAAUAAGUAAGGGUUAAUAUCUCUUACGAUGACGGUACUGUUUGUAAGCUCCGGCUAACUCCGUGCCAGCAGCCGCGGUAAUACGGGGGGAGCAAGCGUUGUUCGGAUUUACUGGGCGUAAAGGGCGCGUAGGCGGCCACCGCAAGUCGGUUGUGAAAUCUCUGGGCUUAACCCAGAAAGGUCAACCGAUACUGCGGGGCUAGAGUGCAGAAGGGGCAACUGGAAUUCUCGGUGUAGCGGUGAAAUGCGUAGAUAUCGAGAGGAACACCUGCGGCGAAGGCGGGUUGCUGGGCUGACACUGACGCUGAUGCGCGAAAGCUAGGGGAGCGAACGGGAUUAGAUACCCCGGUAGUCCUAGCCUUAAACGAUGAAUGCUUGGUGUCUGGGGUUUUAUAGUCCCCGGGU
rnacentral:rRNA from 1 species